ensembl:lncRNA
GCAGCGAGGUCAAGUAGAGAUAUGUGAAACUCUGAGCAACUGUAGUGGAGAUUCACUGCACACCAGAAUGAUGUCUCUCUAUGGCCUAACUGUGGUGAAGAUCUUAACACAUGAUGUCCAGAAUGAACCUUCCAUGGCAUCAGUUUGGACCAGCACUGUUAUUUGGCUCCUGCUGAGGAAAAAGGACCAGCCUCAUUGGCGACUGUUUAAUCCUGAUUUAUUUUCUGCCCUAAGUGUCUUUCAGAUAACAUGACUUUUUCCCAGGCUGCUGGAAUUUAGACUCAUCCCUUAAGUAUGUACCAGAUAAAUAUAGGGAAUAGGUAUCUCUGCCCUCUUUCUAUGCUUUGAAGCCUCCACAGUCAAAGGUUCCUAGAAGAGAACGUGUCAAGAUAGUAUCUACUCUAAACCCAGUGACUUGUUCCAGUGGCUGUUGUAUCCAAGUGCAGACGUCAUUGCUCAUGAGCAUGUUGGUCCUCAGUGUAGAAGAACCUAGAAGAACUGCAUAAUGGAGUAGUCCAAUCAAUACUGAUAAACACAGAAUUUCUUUGAAGAUCUGUAUUCCACGAGAAAAAAGAUGAGUACAUCUGUUUUCAUGAGGACAAAAAAGAAAUGGUACUAGUCAUAAUAUUCUUGUCAUUCAUGCCCCUGGCCAGCUACAAAAGGAGCAGUAACUGUGCAGGUUAUGGACCUAUUUUGUAUAAUACGUACUUCUUUUCAUUAUUCAGUCAAUUCAGUCAUACAUAUAUACAUAAACAUCAUCAAUCUCUUGCUUAAAAGUUAACCCAGACUACAUAUUCAGGCAACCUUUCUGUCUUCCUAGCAAAGCUGAGCCAGUAGACUGAAAUGGAAAGGCAGAAUCAUGAACCAGUGUUCCUUAUUGACAAACAACCUCUCAAAGGGCCUUGGGACAUGGUGACAAUCAACCACCUAGUCAAUUGUCUUUAGAAUGAAAAAUGAGCAGUAGUGGGAGUUGGAACUGGAGCCCUGAUAACUUCUAAGAUAGUGAUCUCUAUCUUAUUUCAUUUAUUAGCCUUUAGUCUUGAAAAAGGAAAUGAUAAAUUCCCUUGUAGUGAGUGAGAAAAGGCAAUUCUACCUGUCUCUAGUUGGCUCUUUGAAAGCAGCUGCUCAGAAGAUGAAUUUCAUCCCAGUCUGUAGUUUAGAUUAAGGCAUGGUUGUCCAACUUUUUGGCUUGCCUGGGCUGCACUGAAUGAAGAGGAAUUCUCUAGGGGAUGCAUCUACAAAGGUUGCUCUGAAAGUAACGCCUCCUAAUUAUUUCCAUGGAAAUUACAACUGAUACAAACAGCACAAUAACACUAUUUAAUAUAGCAAAUUUUCAGCUACAAAACAGUCUUUUUCAGCACAGUCACCACCACUAGCUAUGCAUUUUCACCAGUGAUGAACAAGAGCCUGCAUGGUGUGCCCAUAACAAUCUGCAUAAGCGGAGUUGGCCUACGGCAGCUCUCAUCACUGCUGAAACGCAGCACCCACCACCUCACUGCGCUCACAUCCACACUUUGGUCUCCAUAAAUGUUCAGCAAGUAUCAGUGAAUGUCAGUGUGUGC